AAAGUCUUAAGUUAAAAAAACUAUUAACCUUCAAAGUUAAAAACAUAAACAUAUUAUAGACUUUA